AAAAAUACCAAGAUGAAGAUUUUAAAGAGAAUCAAGAAAAGCAGAUACACCUGAUGACUAGAAAAGCCAAGGGAAAACUAAGACAAAUGAAAGAACGUGAGGGGCAAAAUCAAGUUUAUAUACCUUUCGACCAAGAAGUCUUUGGAUGUACAAAGGAGCAGAGGAAAGGAGGUCAUCGUACAGGGCGACCAAGGCAGUUUCUGUGCCAAAAGAGGCCUAAAGCCUGAUUGAAAUGGAUCCAGAAAAUCAGCUUCUUCCCAGAGCACCUGGAUCUGGUCUGCGACCACCUGCUCCAGAACCUCGCUCUAGAAGUUGGACAAACCAAGAUUGGUAAGAUUUUAACACAGGUAAGACUUAGAAGUGAGAAGGGUAGGGGGAUCCAGGGGGAAAGAAAGCUGUGCAUGUGAUAAAGAGCAAAGCAGAGGGGGAGAAGACAACAUCGUUCUAAUUUCAUGUUAGCUCAGGUUGCCUUGUUGACAAAAAUGCUAUACAGCCAUUGUUCCUAAGGUAGAAUACCCAUUUAGAAUACCCAUUUUAAAAGCUGAUGCAUCAAAACGGCUUCCUUUGUCUGUCACAGUUGCCUUGCUGAUUUCAGUGUGAAAAAGCAAAUAGGGCAUUUUGAGGGUCAAUCUACUGAUGGCAAUGGUAGAGGCGGCCUGGUAGAGGCAUUGGAGUGAAUAGAGGUUUUCACCAUUUUGCCAGCAAAAAAGUCCAGCACACAUUUAAGCACAAACAUAUUCAGAAUUAGGAAGGAUGAGCCUUGACCAUUUUUUCCUGUACAUAAAGGGCAGAAAUUUUGUCUGUUAAUGGUAAGGCUGAAAUGACUGAGAAAAUAUUUGAAAUCUUAUGAAUCCCGACUCUCUGGCCAUUUUUACUCAUACAUAAGGGGGUGGCGGAUUGUUCCACUAAUGACCAGAGAGGGGCCACACAAAAUCAUAACAACCCACAAUUGUGAAACGUUUUGGAAUAGAGGUCUGUACCCUUAAAUCCUGUAGAUAAAGGAGGCAUGUAGCUCCCAAUUUUCUUUGCCUGGGGUACAGGUAUGACUAUUUACUGCAGGGAACAUUAUCCAUAAAUGCUGAGACUUUAUUAGAAAUUGAAUUUGACCCAAAUUGUAUUACUGGCUUUUUGGUGAAAACUUGCAUGAUAGGGUUGAUAGUUGCUGGGUUUCCAACAAAUACUAAAAUUUGGAUCCUUGCCAGUACUUCUGUUCCUAAGGUAAUAUAUUUAAAAACCUGGUGUAGCAAACUGCUUCCUUUGCCUGUAACCUUUCACUUGGUUACCUUCAACUGCAAUCGUAGCUUCUAUUAAAAAACCUUUUGAAUUAUCAGAGGUGGCGAUAUGCAGUAAUAACUAACAAGUAAUCUCUAAAUGCUCUAUCAUAAUAAUUAGAGCAGGAAUACAGUUGUGUGUCUUCUGGCUGAAGGUCAGCUAGGUGAGUAUCUUGUGCUUGGCUGAGGGGAAAACUUCUGUUGUGUUCUGCCUGCAACUCUUUGUACAAAGAUUCUUUCAGGUCGCCGUGAGGGGGACCAUUCAAGCAAACUGAGCCUGUUGGAGAAAAGAUGAGCUGCGAACUCAAAAGCCUAAUGCAGUCGUUCUCCGUGCUUCUACCUAGAGGGACGUCUCUUGUCGGGACACCACUGCAGGGGAGGCCCCUUCCUGUGCCAUCACCACACAAUAAGGUGCAUCUCAGCGACACAAGAAAUAGAAUUUUGCAAGCCUUCAGGAAACUUAACGGCAAGUGAACUUCACACCUCACAAUUCAGUGAUCUUUUUCAGUACAAUCCUUUUGUGCUGGCUUCUCCAUUUCCCCCGCUUGAUCUCUUCACAGUUCUGUCCAAGAGCCCACCACACUCAGGUGGAGCCAGCUCUUCCUGCAGAAGUCAGACCAGCAGAAGGAACUUCCAGGCCCAUGAAUUCACACUUCAGAGGGACAAACAAAAAGGUGAGCAUAAAGGCAGAGUUUGAAGACUGGAACCAGUCUCUGCAAAUUAAUGGCAGUCAACAUGGCACUCUGUGACUUAACCCAAUCUAGGUGAAUAUCCCUUGCUUGGCAAGGGAUAAAACCUCGAUUGUGUUUUGUCUGCAACUUCAUAACUCUUAAGGGUUUUCUUUUUUCCUGAGAGAACAUUCUGUAUUCAGAGUGUUCUCUCAGGUUUUGCUUUUCACCUUGUUGCA